UACGGGGGGAGCAAGCGUUGUUCGGAUUUACUGGGCGUAAAGGGCGCGUAGGCGGUCAGCACAAGUCAGUUGUGAAAUCUCCGGGCUUAACUCGGAAAGGUCAACUGAUACUGUGCGACUAGAGUGCGGAAGGGGCAACUGGAAUUCUCGGUGUAGCGGUGAAAUGCGUAGAUAUCGGGAGGAACACCAGUAGCGAAGGCGGCUCGCUGGGCCAUUCCUGACGCUGAGACGCGAAAGCUAGGGGAGCGAACAGG
rnacentral:rRNA from 1 species